GGCCAGUUGAUUCCAGUUGCUUUCACUAUCUGAUGGCAUGACUCAAAGGCACUCGGGAAUUCUGACUACUGACUACUCGGUCACGGUAUGGCCAGUUCCAUUCUUAUCUAUUUUGUAGCGUUGCACCCUUAAUACAUAGAUCUGAUUGCUUGCUUCGGUACGAGCUGGACCGAGUUCUAAGGAGUGUUCUAAAUGUGAACAUGAUUAGUUUUAACACCUCCAUCGGUGAAGGACAAUAACACUGAUUGAAGACGUGGUAUAAUGCACUAGCUUGCCACUGAUUACAGCAUCCCUCGAAUGAAAACUGAAAACUACCCGUGCCAGAGAGAUCACUCAAACUGUGUGGGGUGGCAAAUUAUUGGACACCGAACAUACACGACACACGGAAAUACGUAGCACAAAAACACUUAUAGAUGAGUAGAUGAACUAAAUCAAUGCCAAAACUUGAUCAAGCGGACGAUUUUGAUGACACCGAGUAGAAGAGUAUAUAUUAUUACCUUGGAA